rnacentral:rRNA from 1 species
CAGUCGCAAGGCUGAAACUCAAAGGAAUUGACGGGGGGCCCGCACAAGCGGUGGAGGCAUGUGGUUUUAAUUCGACGCAGCGCGAAGAACCUUACCUGGGGCUCGAAAUGCUACGGACCAGCUUAUGAAAGUUUGCCUUCCCGCAAGGGACCGUAGUAUAGGUGCUGCAUGGCUGUCGUCAGCUCGUGUCGUGAGAUGUUGGGUUAAGUCCCGCAACGAGCGCAACCCUUGUCCUGUGUUGCCAUACCGAAAGGUGGAACUCGCAGGAGACCGCCAGGGAUAACCUGGAGGAAGGUGGGGAUGACGUCAAGUCCUCAUGGCCUUUAUGUCCAGGGCUACACACGUGCUACAAUGGACGGUACAAAGGGCUGCCAACCCGCGAGGGGGAGCCAAUCCCAAAAAACCGUUCUCAGUUCGGAUUGCAGGCUGCAACUCGCCUGCAUGAAGCUGGAAUCGCUAGUAAUGGUGGAUCAGAACGCCACCGUGAAUACGUUCCCGGGCCUUGUACACACCGCCCGUCACAUCACGAAAGUGGGUUGUACUAGAAGUCCGCACGCUAACCCGCAAGGGAGGCAGCGGCCCAAGGUAUGACUCAUGAUUGGGGUGAAGUCGUAACAAGGUAGCCGUAGGAGAACCUGCGGCUGGAUCAC